rnacentral:tRNA from 1 species
GCGAGCGUAGCUCAGUGGUAGAGCUCCAGCUUCCCAAGCUGGCUAUGGGGGUUCGAUUCCCCUCGCUCGCUCCA